rnacentral:lncRNA from 1 species
UCCAUCUCCACCCCUGGAAAAGUGGCUCGGUGAGGGCGAGGACAGUAUUUGGUCACUGCUGAGCCCCUGGCCCUCUGCUGGCCCACCGCAGGUCCCAGAAAAUACUAAGUGAUGAAUGAAGCAAAGAUUUUGUGUCCCCUGUGGGGACAAGAGGCAGCGAGGGGAUGUGGUUUGAAGACCCAAAUGGUGGAAUUAAGGAAGCAACAGUAGGGGAACAUGCUUGAAACAGCUUUGUGCCAGACUCGUUUGUUGGGUGUACUUGUGCGAAGAGGAGCCGAGGGCUGGGAGGCAGAGCUGGGUUUGAAUCUCAUGCCAACACUUGCAGCUGUGUGACCUUGAGCAGGUCUCCGAGAGUAGGGGUUUUGUCUAUCUCGUUCAUUUCUGAAUCCCAGGGACCUGGAAGAGGGCCCAGCAUACACUGACUGACUGAAUGGCGGGUAUGUACCUAGUAGGCGCUGUAUAAAUGGAAGCUAUUGUUAUUCCCGUGCAUCUCUGUCUUCUCUGCUUGCAUCUGGUUGGUUGGCCGAGCUCACCUUCAUGCCCGGGGCAGUCCCAGCUCGAAUCACCUGCCAAACUGCAGUAAUGGGGUCACUGUCCUGCCUGGGCUCCUGUGUGCCCUGCCCCAGGCAGGGGAGGCUGUGCACCCUGGAGGCCACCUCAGCAGCCCGCCCUUCCAGGCAGAGGCCAGUGGGUCUGCCUGCUCCACCUCUUCCAGGUAAACAGCCAACGCCAGACACGUGGAGCAUCCCCACAACCCUUGUCAGGGUCAAAGAAAUCCGGACAAGACUAGUAGGGCUACCUGCCAUGGCAGAGGCCCAGGCUCUCAUCCCAGCUCUGCCUCCAAUUUGCUGUGGGUUCUCAGCAUUAUUCACAAUAGCCAAGACGUGGAAGCAACCCAAGUGCCCAGCAACAGAUGAAUGGAUAAAGAAGAUGUGGUAUAUAUAUACAAUGGAAUACUACUCAGCCAUAAAAAAGACAAAAUCAUCCCAUUUGCAACAACAUGGAUGGACCUUGAGGGUAUUAUGCUAAGCAAAAUAAGCCAGACAGAGAAAGACAAAUACCAGAUGAUUUCACUCAUAUGUGGAAUAUAAACAAACACAUGGACAAAGAAAACCAUUCAGUGGUUACCAGGGAAAGGAGG